CAGUCGCCGCGGUAAUACGGAGGGUGCAAGCGUUAUCCGGAUUUAUUGGGUUUAAAGGGUCCGUAGGCGGACUUAUAAGUCAGUGGUGAAAGCCUGUCGCUUAACGAUAGAACUGCCAUUGAUACUGUAAGUCUUGAGUAUAUUUGAGGUAGCUGGAAUAAGUAGUGUAGCGGUGAAAUGCAUAGAUAUUACUUAGAACACCAAUUGCGAAGGCAGGUUACCAAGAUAUAACUGACGCUGAGGGACGAAAGCGUGGGUAGCGAACAGGAUUAGAGACCCCGGUAGUCCCUGUCUCUUAUAC
rnacentral:rRNA from 1 species